rnacentral:rRNA from 2 species
AGCAGUAGGGAAUCUUCCACAAUGGACGCAAGUCUGAUGGAGCAACGCCGCGUGAGUGAAGAAGGCUUUCGGGUCGUAAAACUCUGUUGUUGGAGAAGAAUGGUCGGCAGAGUAACUGUUGUCGGCGUGACGGUAUCCAACCAGAAAGCCACGGCUAACUACGUGCCAGCAGCCGCGGUAAUACGUAGGUGGCAAGCGUUAUCCGGAUUUAUUGGGCGUAAAGCGAGCGCAGGCGGUUUUUUAAGUCUGAUGUGAAAGCCCUCGGCUUAACCGAGGAAGUGCAUCGGAAACUGGGAAACUUGAGUGCAGAAGAGGACAGUGGAACUCCAUGUGUAGCGGUGAAAUGCGUAGAUAUAUGGAAGAACACCAGUGGCGAAGGCGGCUGUCUGGUCUGUAACUGACGCUGAGGCUCGAAAGCAUGGGUAGCGAACAGGAUUAGAUACCCUGGUAGUCCAUGCCGUAAACGAUGAAUGCUAGGUGUUGGAGGGUUUCCGCCCUUCAGUGCCGCAGCUAACGCAUUAAGCAUUCCGCCUGGGGAGUACGACCGCAAGGUUGAAACUCAAAGGAAUUGACGGGGGCCCGCACAAGCGGUGGAGCAUGUGGUUUAAUUCGAAGCAACGCGAAGAACCUUACCAGGUCUUGACAUCUUUUGAUCACCUGAGAGAUCAGGUUUCCCCUUCGGGGGCAAAAUGACAGGUGGUGCAUGGUUGUCGUCAGCUCGUGUCGUGAGAUGUUGGGUUAAGUCCCGCAACGAGCGCAACCCUUAUGACUAGUUGCCAGCAUUUAGUUGGGCACU